ACGAGAGGCAAGCAGCUGAGCACCUGCGCCGGGCCCUGCCGUACCUGCAGAGCCCACAGGAGUCCCUGCGAGCGGCGGCCAUCAGGUUCAUCGAGAUGGUCGAGGUACCCAUGAGGGGGCAGCAGGAAGAGCUCUAGGCCUUCAGUAAGGCCUUUUAAGCCCUGAGGAGGAAUGACAGCCCUUCCCAGA